rnacentral:rRNA from 1 species
CAAAAGGAAAUUGACGGGGGCCCGCACAAGCGGAGGAACAUGUGGUUUAAUUCGAUGAUACGCGAGGAACCUUACCCGGGCUCAAACGGGAGUGGAAUGAACCAGAGACGGUUCAGCGUACGGGCCGCUUCCGAAGGUGCUGCAUGGUUGUCGUCAGCUCGUGCCGUGAGGUGUCGGCGUAAGUGCCAUAACGAGCGCAACCCCCGCCGGCAGUUGCUAACGGGCAAUGCCGAGGACUCUGCCGGGACUGCCGCCGCAAGGCGUGAGGAAGGCGGGGAUGACGUCAAAUCAGCACGGCCCUUACGUCCGGGGCUACACACGUGUUACAAUGGGCGGUACAGCGGGAAGCCAGGCGGCGACGCCGAGCGGAACCCGAAAGCCGUUCUCAGUUCGGAUCGGAGUCUGCAACCCGACUCCGUGAAGCUGGAUUCGAUAGUAAUCGCGCAUCAGCCAUGGCGCGGUGAAUACGU